rnacentral:rRNA from 1 species
ACGUAGGGUGCGAGCGUUAAUCGGAAUUACUGGGCGUAAAGCGUGCGCAGGCGGUUCGCUAAGACAGGUGUGAAAUCCCCGGGCUUAACCGGGAGAGGACGUGCGAGACUGUCGGACUAGAGGCAGGUAGAGGCAAGUGGAAUUCCGGGUGUAGUGGUGAAAUGCGUAGAGAUCCGGAGGAACCCCGGUGGCGAAGGCGACUUGCUGGGCCUGAACUGACGCUCAGACGCGAAAGCGUGGGGAGCAAACAG